rnacentral:lncRNA from 10 species
UUUCGGUUCUUCCUCAUUUUCUCUUGCUGCCGCAAUGUAAGAAGAGCCAUACGCCUCCCGCCAUGAUUCUGAGACCUCCACAGCGAUGUGGAACUUGCCGAAUAAUAUUUCAUUUUCUGGAUAUACCUCACUUUAUCUACUUGCUACAGAAGGGCAUCCUGCUUACUUUAAAGUUUUGGCAAUUAGGAAUAAAGCUGCUAUAAGCAUCCAGUCUUACUAGGACCUUCUAUAGCAUAAGACAAAGAAGAAUACAUGUUUAAAAGAAAUGCAACACAUGGGUGCUGCCUGCAAAUCAGAAAGAAGAUAAAGCCAAUUCACAAAGGAGCACCAGUGCCUUAGAAAGCUGUUUGCUAGAAAGCUCUUCAAUAACUAGACUUUUCUAUAUUGAACCUGUAGACAAUGAGAUAAGACAACAGAAUUUUGAUGUGCCAAGGAAGUACAACAACCUCACUGUAGGCUGUUAUGAUAAUGUGUACUUACCUCUUCUUAAUUCUUUCUCACUAUAGAGUGAUAGCAGAAAAGAGAGGAAGAUACCUGGAAGAUAUACCUAAGAAAUACUUGGGAAGUAUAUGGAAAUGGGUACUUUUUCUCCUCUUUGAACAAUCAAUUCAUUCAAAACUCCAGUGUUAUCCUGAGCUACUAGGAGAAGCGUUAAAAAUAAACCUGAUUUGAUCUUAAAAAACAAGCAAAUAAAAACAGACAAUGGGACACUUUUUCUUAAUAAUAAUUGAGACUUACCCUAUGGAAAAUGUAGAUUUUAAUACAUUAAAUUUGUUAGCAGGUAUAGUUGAUUAGAUAGAUCAACAGAUAGAUAAAGAUAAAUAUUUUUUAUGCACCAUAAAUGCACGCAAACAUAUACACAUGCAUAUUUGGGAUAUCACAGCAAUAGUAUGCAUCUUAGUCUAGUUUGGGCUGCUAUAACAAAAUAUGUGGGACAGGGUAAUUUAUGAAGAACAGAAAUUUAUUUCUCAUAGUUCUGGAGGCUGGGCAGUUUAGAAUCAAGGCUCCAGCAUUUGUUGUCUGGUGAGGGCUGCUGUCUGCUUCUAAGAUGGUGCUUUGUUGCUGUGUCCUAACAUGGCCAAAGGCAGAAAAGCAAAAAGGGCCUAGCUAGUUCCCUCCAGCCCUUAUAUAAGGCCUCUCAUGCCAUUAAUGAGGGUUCUGCUCUCAUGACAUAAUCACCUCUUAAAAGCCCUGUCUCUUAAUACUGUUACCUUGAGGAUUAAGUUUUAACAUGAAUUUUGGGAGCACAUUCAACCAUAGCAGUGUGAGAGGGAAGGUUAAAUGUCUUAGUUAAUGUUGAUUUCUGUAACAAAUAAAAUCUUUAAAAUAAUAAUAAGUGUUCAUUUAGUAUCACUUAAAUUCAAAAAGCGUGUUUCUAUCUUCAAAUCAG